rnacentral:rRNA from 1 species
CCACUAUUCCCACAAAACGGAGRRAAGRAACUACCAAGGAUUCCCCUAGUAACUGCGAGUGAAGCGGGAAAAGCUCAAAUUUAAAAUCUGGUAGUCUUUGGCUGCCCGAGUUGUAAUCUAGAGAAGCAUUAUCUGCGUUGGACUGUGUAUAAGUGUCCUGGAACGGACCAUCAUAGAGGGUGAGAAUCCCGUCUUUGACACAGACUCCCAGUGCUUUGUGAUGUGCUCUCAAAGAGUCGAGUUGUUUGGGAAUGCAGCUCUAAAUGGGUGGUAAAUUCCAUCUAAAGCUAAAUAUUGGCGAGAGACCGAUAGCGAACAAGUACCGUGAGGGAAAGAUGAAAAGAACUUUGGAAAGAGAGUUAAACAGUACGUGAAAUUGCUGAAAGGGAAACGCUUGAAGUCAGUCGCGUUGGCUGGGGAUCAACCUUGCUUUUUGCUUGGCUUACUUCCCAGUUGACGGGUCAGCAUCAGUUUUGACCAGUGGAUAAAGGCUAGGGGAAUGUGGCACCUCCGGGUGUGUUAUAGCCCUUGGUCAUAUACAUUGGUUGGGACUGAGGAACUCAGCACUUGUGCUUAGGAUGCUGGCAUAAUGGCUUUAAGCGACCCGUCUUGAAACACGGACCAAGGAGUCUAACAUGCCCGCGAGUGUUUGGGUGGAAAACCCGAGCGCGUAAUGAAAGUGAAAGUUGAGAUCCCUGUCGUGGGGAGCAUCGACGCCCGGACCAGACCUUUUGUGACGGAUCCGCGGUAGAGCGUGUAUGUUGGGACCCGAAAGAUGGUGAACUAUGCCUGAAUAGGGUGAAGCCAGAGGAAACUCUGGUGGAGGCUCGUAGCGAUUCUGACGUGCAAAUCGAUCGUCGAAUUUGGGKWGAAGGGGCGAAAGACUAAUCGAACCUCUAGUAGCGGUCUGAAGA